CGAGCGUCAUUAUCAACCAUCAAGCCCUGCUUGGUAUUGGGUGUCGUCCCUGCUGCGGACGCUCCCUAAAGUAAUCGGCGGUGGUGUUAAACCUCAAGCGUAGUAAAUCUCCAGCUUUCUAGGUGAAACAUCGCUCGGCCUCGAGAACCCCACAUCUUAAGGUUGACCUCGGAUCAGGUAGGGAUACCCGCUGAACUUAA
rnacentral:misc_RNA from 1 species